GCACUACUAGAACACAAAGAGAUGUGUUCCAUUUUAGACUGUAGGAUGCAGAGUUAGCAGAGUGAGGGAACAGGGUGGGUGCAGUGUUAUUAAAGGGACACUACAGUCACCAGAGCAACUACAGCGUAUUGCAUUUGUUCUGGUGAGUAGAAUCAUUCCCUUCAGGAUUUUUGCUGUAAACACUGUCUUUGCAGAGAAAAUGCAGUGUUUACCUUACAGCCUAGUGAUAACACCACUGGCCACUCCUUAGAUGGCUGCUAAAG